rnacentral:rRNA from 1 species
CCUGCCAGUAGUCAUAUGCUUGUCUCAAAGAUUAAGCCAUGCAUGUCUAAGUAUAAACCGCUUGAACCGUUAAAAGUUCAAAACGGGUGAAACUGCGAAUGGCUCAUUAAAUCAGCAAUCGUUUACUUGAUUGUGUGCUAUUAUGGAGUUGGCUGGGGGGUUCGCCUUUCAGUCAAAGCUAUUAUGGCUGUAUGGAUAACCGUGGUAAUUCAAGAGCUAAUACAUUAUUAACAAGAGGUUGACUUUUCGCAAGAGAGGAAGAUCUGCAUUUAUUAGAUACAAUUGCAAAACCGAAACCUCCGGGCAACCGGGGUUUUAAUAGUUGGUGAUUCAUAGUGACUGUGCGAAUCGCAUGACACUCACUCUCACGAGUGAGACUUUGUCGGCGAUGGAUCAUUCAAAUUUCUGACCCAUCAAUUCUCGAUGGUUGGAUAGAGGCCAACCAUGUUGACGACGGGUAACGGAGAAUUGGGGUUCGAUUCCGGAGAGGGAGCCUGGAGAAACGGCUCCCACUUCCAAGGAAGGCAGCAGGCGCGCAAAUUGCCCAAUCCAUUCCAGCUCCAAUAGCGUAUGCUAAAAUUGCUGUAGUUGAAAAGCUCGUAGUUGGAUUUCGGAGUAAAAAGGAUGGGAUGGAGUGGUUAGCUCAAAAGGCUAACGUACGCCACCUAUCUGUCGAGAUUUAACUUGGUAUGAGGAACCAGCUGCUUUUCUUAAGUGGCGAGUUUUUCUUCCGAGGUCUCUUUACUCCUUUUUCUUGAAUGGAGAUUUUCUUAUUUGCGUUUCGGCGUAAAGGGGAUUUUUUCAUUCAAGAAGGUACGACUGGCUUGCUCGUAGCUAUUCUUUAUUGAAUAGCUAUUAUCUCAGGAAAGUGCAGGGAGCAAUCUUUGUAUUUUCUUGGGGUUUGGUGUCAGGGAGUUUUUUUUCCUUGGCAACAGAGCUCCAGUCCUUUUACCUUGAACAAAACAGAGUGUUCAAAGCAGGCUUAAAUUCGGCUGUCAAACGCCGAAAAACGCCUUGUAUGCUUCAGCAUGGGAUAAUGGAACAGGACCAGGUUGGGUCACGUGCAUAUUUCGUUUUGGUUUUCAGCCGUGAACAAAUUGAAUCUAAUAAAUUCACCCAACCGGUGAUGAUUGACAGGGACUGUCGGGGACAUUGGUAUUUAAUUGUCAGAGGUGAAAUUCUUGGAUUAAUUAAAGACCAACUUCAGCGAAGGCAUUUGCCAAGGAUGUUUUCAUUUAAUCAAGAACGAAAGUUGGGGGAUCGAAGAUGAUCAGAUACCGUCGUAGUCCCAACCGUAAACGAUGCCGACCAGGGAUCGGGAAUGGAAGUAAACAAAAAGGUGAUAGCAAUCCUGCGGGGUUGUGUGUAACUGAAUCGUCCUUCCCGGCACCUUACAUAUUUUAUCUUUCCGGGAAACCACGAGUUUUUGGGUUCUGGGGGGAGUCUGGUCGCAAGGCUGAAACUUAAAGGAAUUGACGGAAGGGCACCACCAGGAGUGGAGCCUGCGGCUUAAUUUGACCCAACACGGGGAAACUCACCAGGUC